rnacentral:rRNA from 1 species
CAGCAGCCACGGGAAUACAGAGGGUGCGAGCGUUAAUCGGAUUUACUGGGCGUAAAGCGUGCGUAGGCGGCUUCUUAAGUCGGAUGUGAAAUCCCUGAGCUUAACUUAGGAAUUGCAUUCGAUACUGGGAAGCUAGAGUAUGGGAGAGGAUGGUAGAAUUCCAGGUGUAGCGGUGAAAUGCGUAGAGAUCUGGAGGAAUACCGGUGGCGAAGGCGGCCCCCUGGACAAAGACUGACGCUCAGGUGCGAAAGCGUGGGGAGCAAACAGGAUUAGAUACCCCCGUAGUCCCUGUCUCUUAUAC